rnacentral:ribozyme from 1 species
CCGAAAUAUGUAAAUAACGAACCAGAGAAACGGGUGGAGGAAUAGUUUGCUAUUUAGAUACCGUUUUUGUUGUUUUCAUUCGUCUUUUUUUUCUAUUGCUUUUCUCAUUACUCUU